rnacentral:lncRNA from 1 species
AAUAAAAUAAAAUAAAAAGAGAUCGUUGAGGAGGCUAUUUCAAUACGGCAUACGGUUGAAGGUUCUCCAUUAGGGGUGGCAAUCUAGCUCACUGUUUGUAAACCUGUUCGUGUUCGGCUCGAAAUGAAUUCGAGAUCGAAUCACUCAUUUAGUAAACGAGCCGAGCACGAGCUGAAAUUUUCAGUUUGUUUAAUAAACGAGCCGAACAUGAGCUGAGAUCAGUUCACUUGUGUUCGGCUCGAUAACAUCUUGAAUGCAUAUAUUUUAUAUUGAGCUAGGCUCCUAUGCUUUCGAAAGUACGGGGGCCUCCGUGCUUGUAAGUUGUUUUCAAUGAUGGGACGUCUAAUUCGGCGAUCGAUUCUGUUAAACAUGAUCUAUGUUAUUGGAACUAUCUAGAAACCAAAUUUCAUAAUUUUUUGACUUCGUUUGCCUAAUGAAAGUGUAGCCUCAAAAUGAACGGCUGAAAAUAAAAAUAUCAUAAAAAACAGUGAUAAAUGACUUAAAUUUCAAAUCGGAAGUAUUGUUCUUGCUAUUGAUGUUAAGUAGAAUUUCUAUUAAAGUUUCAUAUAAUUUGGAUACUUCUACACCGUUAAACUUAAAAACGUACCAUAUCGGCCGUUAAAAUAGUCAUUUUUGAGACCAUGUGAUCGCUUGGUAAAUAAUGUCGACAAAUUAUAAAAUUUGGUUUCUAGAUAGUUCCAAUAGCAUAGAUUAUACCUAACGGAGCCGAUCGUCGAAACAACUUACAAGUACGGAG